CCCUUAGAUGUUCUGGGCCGCACGCGCGCUGCACUGGUACGUUCAACAAGUUUACAACCUUGAUCGAUAGGUCUGGGUAAUCUUUUUAAUGCGUACCGUGCUGGGGAUAGAUUAUUGCAAUUAUUAAUCUUGAACGAGGAAUUCCUAGUAAACGCAAGUCAUCAGCUUGCAUUGAUUACGUCCCUGCCCUUUGUACACACCGCCCGUCGCACCUACUGAUUGAAUGACUCGGUGAAAAAUUGGGACUGUGAGAACAAUCGAUUCAGUUCGAAUGUACUCGUGGAAACUUUUUUUAACCUCGCCAUUUAGAAGAAGGUGAAGUCGUAACA
rnacentral:rRNA from 1 species